rnacentral:hammerhead_ribozyme from 1 species
AUCCUUCUGAAGAGUUCCAAACAGGACGAAACGCGUGUCGUGGAU